CCUACGGGUGGCAGCAGUGAGGAAUAUUGCUCAAUGGCCGGGAGGCUGAACCAGCCAAGUCGCGUGAGGGAAGACGGCCCUACGGGUUGUCAACCUCUUGUGUCAGGGAGCAAGGUGCAGGUCGGGACCUGCUGUGAGAGUAACUUAAGAAAAAGCAGCGGCUAACUCCGUGCCAGCAGCCGCGGUAAUACGGAGGAUGCGAGCUUUAUCCGGAUUUAUUGGGUUUAAAGGGUGCGUAGGCGGCCUUUCAAGUCAGCGGUGAAAGUCUGUGGCUCAACCAUAGAAUUGCCGUUGAAACUGGGAGGCUGGAGUAUGUUGGAGGCAGGCGGAAUGCGUGGUGUAGCGGUGAAAUGCUUAGAUAUCAGGCGGAACCCCGAUUGCGAAGGCAGCCUGCCAAGCCAUGACUGACGCUGAUGCACGAAAGCGUGGGGAUCAAACAGGAUUAGAUACCCUAGUAGUC
rnacentral:rRNA from 1 species